GUGUUUUUUCACCUUUAUUAUUAACAUUUGUCUGGCAGAAUUAGCCCUCAAAUAUUUGACUUAACGAAUUCUACAUCUGGUAGCGCCGAGUCCAGGCCUUGGCAUAGAGCAAUCUCAUCAUAUGCCUAUUACAAUUCCUCAGUGGUUAGACUUGCAAACAGUUAUUGAGGUGUAUUAGAUGCCAGGGUUCACCUGCCACCUCCUCCUGCACGGCUGUUUUCCGUCCUCCCGGGGAGGGGGCGUGGCCAGCACCACGGCCCGCCCUAUCUGUGCACUCGUUGGUCCAGCCCGACGCCCGUUACUGCCGAGGCCCGCCCAAACCACGCCCCCGCGGAGCGCGCCGGGCCGAGAGAAGGUGUAGCCAUUGUCCCGCCGGUCGAGCCAGACCGUCUGCUCUCGUGAGAAUUGGGGCGCGCUCGGAGACUCGCACGGCCCGCGGUCGCGCGCAGCCCCGCCCCCCCGGCACGCAGGCCCCGCGCGAGCUCGCGCACGCGCGCACCCGCCAGGGCCUCGGGCUGGCCCGCGAGGACUGGCGGGCGGAGAGCGGGCCGCUGAGGUGCGGGGGAGGAGCCCGAGCCGCCGCCGGCGCCGAGGAGCAUGUCUGCAAGUCGGGCCAAGAAAGUGAAGAUGGCCACCAAAUCGUGCCCCGAGUGCGACCAACAGGUUCCUGUUGCGUGUAAAUCGUGUCCUUGUGGUUACAUAUUUAUUAGCAGAAAACUUUUAAAUGCAAAACACCCAGAGAAAUCACCACCUUCUACAGAAAACAAGCAUGAGGCCAAGAGGAGGCGGACAGAGAGAGUUAGGCGAGAGAAGAUAAAUUCUACAGUAAAUAAGGAUUUAGAAAACAGAAAGAGAUCUCGAAGUAACAGCCAUUCAGAUCAUAUCAGACGAGGAAGAGGAAGACCUAAGAGUGCGUCUGCCAAAAAGCACGAGGAGGAACGAGGAAGCUACUGCAGGAUACAUGUUAUCAAAAUGAAGACAUAAACCAAGAAAGUAUCUUGGGAUCCGGGUCACAGGGUCCAACUCGAGAGAGAUGAAGAGAAUCUGCAGCAUGGUGUUAAGAGAUUCAAGAUAACAGUUGUGUAACAGACCUGGAAAACAACCGUUUCAGAUUGGAGCACAUCAGAUGACUUGGAGAGAUUUCUUCAAGACGAUAACAUUGAUAUAAUACAUAAUAUGUCUAAAAUUCUGAAAGGCACACAUAACUAGGAGAGAGUUUGGGUUGAAUUAGUAAUGAAAACCUAAGCAAAUGAAAAAAGAGAAUCCCUUCAGGGAAAACAAUGUGCAGGAAAAGGAAAAUAAUUUACAUAGAAUAAUGUAAACAUUGAAUAUUGAUCUCCCCGAAAUUGUGAUAUAAUGGGGAGAGUGUGGUACAAUACGUGGAAAACAACAAAAUCCUAAUUUUCCAUGGGAGAAAGUCACUUAAUAAUGCCUAAAAUCAAAAAACUAAAAAGUAACAUCAUAUAAAAAAUAUUAGAGAUAGAGACAUAAAAACAAAAAGGAACAAUUGAAGAAAAAAGUAGUUGCAUUUGGAGAGUGGGAAAUGUAUAUGGGGGAGGACUUCUGUUUUUAUAGCAAGUUUGGUAAAAAUGAUUUGACUCUAAAUUAUGUGCAUGUUUACCUUUGAUUAAAAGGUCAAAACAAAAUUAAAAAACAGGAAAAAGUAGAAUCAUAAUAGAGCCUGAGAAAAUUUGGAAAAAUGUACACAAAGCUGUUAAUUGUGACUUUAGCUGGCUCAUGAGAAAAUAGAUGAUUUUUAUUUUCUUUUUUGUUUUUCUAUAUUUUUCAAAUUUUCUACCAUGGACUUGGAUUACAUUUGUAAUCAGGAGGGGGAAAAAUAGACAUAAAUGUUCAUUAUUCUUAUUUUCUGUAGCAGGGCUAAGGUGAAGAAGUUAAUAUAUUCAUAAAGGCACCACUGAUGUUCAGAAGGGACCAUCUUUAGGAGAAACAGGAAAAGGAAAUUGACAUCUAUGCUAACCUCUCUGAUGAAAAGGCUUUCGUGUUUUCAGUCGCCUUGGCAGAAAUAAAUAGAAAAAUUAUCAAUCAAAGACUUAUUCUUUGAUAUUUGUCUGAAAAAUGUGUCGAAACUUUCUUCAGGAUUACAUCAGCAAAUUCUCGAACAGUCACGGACUCUCAGGAGCGUUCUGACUGCAUCAAUAAGGGCCAUCGAUUGUUUUUUUCCCCCCUGUCAUUUAGCCUGUGCCACAUUUGGGAGCAAAACUCUAGGCUUGGACUGUUUUGGGAUUUCCUUGUUUACCAAGGAGUGUUGUCAGUGUUUUGUGUUUGGGACAUAAGUAAGUAUAUAUUUACCACCCCUCCUCCCCCCAAAAAAACUGGAUGGCUAUUAAAGGAUAAAGGGGUAGGGGUGGGAGUGGAAGUGUGAAAACUAGGGAGAUAAAAUGCUUAAUAGUAUUCGGGUUUGCCACCAGAGAUGCAAUAUUUUAAAUACUUUGAGAAAGAGUGACUUUUAAAAGUAUAUAUUUCAGAUUUUCAGCAGUAACAGAUUGCAUAUAUACAGUUCAAUUACUUUUAGUAAAUUGGCAAUUGAUAUUUUAUUGAAUGGGGAAUUAAGAAUAUAAACUGUAAAUUUUGUCUUAAAUUGAUUUUUUUCUUGGCCUUUAUUUUUAUGACUUAAGGUAUGAGUUGUAUUUUGGGAGAUACUUUCUAAACAGUUUGGAAGUUUGGGUGCUACAUGAAGAAAAACGUUUAAGGAUAUAUCAUACUUUAGAUAUAAACACCUUGUUUUCUUGAAUGUAAUUUAUUUAUUGGUUAAAAAAAAAACUUUUCUGCUCUCAAGAUGGUGCCUGUUAACCUAAACAUAAAAUAUAUUUAUUACUUACAAAAUAUUUCUUAGAUAGCCACUUUUAAGCAGUAAUGUUUUAUCUGAAUGGGUGUUCAUUUAUACAUCCUGAUAAUUAUUUAAAUUGUUACUUAACCCCACUCUGGAAGAAAAAAAUAAAUUUAAUAUUGAAAUUAAUAGAUUAAA